rnacentral:lncRNA from 1 species
CUAGCUCCCAAGCAGCCUACAGCCUUUUGAAAGGCCAGUCUUACUCUCCCAACAGCACUGAGUUUAUUCCCAGGCAGCCAGUGAGCAGGGCUGUGAAUUUACCCCAGGCUACAAGCCUCCUAGUUGAGAAAGCAAGCUGACUCACAGUUCCUUGGCUGUCCAAUGGAGCCUGCAGUGGCAAUCCACCUCCUUCAAAGGGUCUGUGGCUUCUCUUGGCUUUCCUGAUGGUGUCAGAAGUGGGAUCCCAAGCAGAGCUUCUAGGGACCCCCAGGAGUGCCAAGUGAACAUGCAAGCUACCUUCAGGACCCACUUGUGUCCAUGGAUCUCUCAAAGCAGCUGAGGAUUGUGGAGGCAGCCUAAAGGCAGAACAAUACUGGAUGAACAACAACCAGAAAAACCCCAUCAUCGUCAUAAGAGCUGCAAAUCAAAGCAAGGGUAAGAGAGAAGGAGAAUGGACACUGGAGGCCUUUGCUUGGGGCCAGCCCUCACUACAAAGCAGGGUAGCUGUGAAGGUCAGCAACUCUGGAGGGAACAAAGGAGGUAUAUGGGAAAAAUUUAAGAAAAUUAUCUAAGAAACUGGGGGAUGUAAAGAGACAUAAAGUCAGGUAAG